GGCGUUUGUGGUGAAAUGGCUAACACACUAGAUUGUGACUCUAGCAUUGCGGGUUCGAUUCCCGUCAUUCGCCU
rnacentral:tRNA from 1 species